CCUACGGGGUGCAGCAGUGAGGAAUAUUGGUCAAUGGGCGCGAGCCUGAACCAGCCAAGUCGCGUGAGGGAAGACGGCCCUACGGGUUGUAAACCUCUUUUGCCGGGGAGCAACGGGCGCCACGUGUGGCGCCACUGAGAGUACCCGGAGAAAAAGCAUCGGCUAACUCCGUGCCAGCAGCCGCGGUAAUACGGGGGUUGCGAGCGUGAUCCGGAUUUAUUGGGUUUAAAGGGUGCGUAGGCGGAGCGGUAAGUCAGUGGUAAAAUUGAGGGGCUCAACCCCUUCCCGCCAUUGAAACUGGAGCUCGUGAGUGGAAGAGAAGUAGGCGGAAUGCGUGGUGUAGCGGUGAAAUGCAUAGAUAUCACGCAGAACCCCGAUGGCGAAGGCAGCAUGCCGGCUUCCUACUGACGCUGAAGCACGAAAGCGUGGGGAUCGAACAGGAUUAGAUACCCUUGUAGUC
rnacentral:rRNA from 1 species